rnacentral:lncRNA from 1 species
AAUGUUGUAUUUAUAACUAAAAUUACAGUGCUUUAUAACUAACAUUACAUUUGUAAAAACAGUAGAUAUGGCAUGUAAGUGCACUGUAAUUUUAAUACAAAUGCACUGUAAAUUUUGGUAACUAGAAUAUUUGUCGUUUUAGUACAAAUGCACUGUUUGAGAAACCGUCCAGGUAUCUGAAGUGUUAAAUGUUACAUUUGUAACAAAAAAUUACAUUGCUUUAUAACUAAAAUUACAUUUGUAAAAACAAUAAAUAUGGCAUGUAAGUGCACCGUAAUUUUAAGUACAAAUGCACUGUAAAUUUUGGUAACUAGAAUAUUUGUCGUUUUAGUACAAAUGCACUGCUUGAGAAACCGUCCAGGUAUCUGAAGUGUUAAAUGUUGCAUUUAUAACUAAAAUUACAGUGCUUUAUAACUAAAAUUACAUUUGUAAAAAUAGUAGAUAUAGCAUGUAGAUGCACUGUAAUUUUAAUAAAAAUACACUGUAAAUUAAACCAUGGUGUUCAUAUUUUUGCCCGUACUCAUCAGUUUAUUUGUAUUGUUCAUUGUGUGCCCGGUAAAGAUACUGCUAGGUGGUGCCGCGGUGGUAGGGGGAUAAAUCAUGACCGUCAAAUUAAACCAUGCCCAAGAGAUCCGACGGAAGCAAAUUCGGGUGAUUUGAGGCAAAAAAUCUGUCGUGAGACGUAUACCAAAAUCGGCUUUAUUUUGCAGUGGUUUUGAUUGGUUCUUGUCUG